rnacentral:rRNA from 1 species
GACGUAGGGUGCAAGCGUUGUCCGGAAUUAUUGGACGUAAAGAGCUCGUAGGCGGUUCGUCGCGUCGGCUGUGAAAUCCCGAGGCUCAACCUCGGGUCUGCAGUCGAUACGGGCGGACUGGAGUUCGGCAGGGGAGACUGGAAUUCCUGGUGUAGCGGUGAAAUGCGCAGAUAUCAGGAGGAACACCGGUGGCGAAGGCGGGUCUCUGGGCCGAUACUGACGCUGAGGAGCGAAAGCGUGGGGAGCGAACAGG